rnacentral:tRNA from 1 species
UGCAUAGCUCAGUCAGUAGAGCACGGGGCUCUUAAUCUCAGGGUUGUGGGUUUGAGCCCCACGCUGGGCAA